rnacentral:rRNA from 1 species
UACGAAGGGGGCUAGCGUUGCUCGGAAUGACUGGGCGUAAAGGGCGCGUAGGCGGCGCGACAAGUCACUUGUGAAAUCUCCGGGCUUAACCCGGAGCGGCCAAGUGAUACUGUAGUGCUAGAGUGCGGAAGGGGCUACUGGAAUUCUCGGUGUAGUGGUGAAAUGCGUAGAUAUCGAGAGGAACACCUGCGGCGAAGGCGGGUAGCUGGGCCGACACUGACGCUGAGGCGCGAAAGCCAGGGGAGCGAACGGG